rnacentral:rRNA from 1 species
AACGAACGCUGGCGGCAUGCCUAACACAUGCAAGUCGAACGAGACCUUCGGGUCUAGUGGCGCACGGGUGCGUAACGCGUGGGAACCUGCCCUUAGGUUCGGAAUAACUCCCCGAAAGGGGUGCUAAUACCGGAUAAUGUCUUCGGACCAAAGAUUUAUCGCCUUUGGAUGGGCCCGCGUUGGAUUAGCUAGUUGGUAGGGUAAAAGCCUACCAAGGCGACGAUCCAUAGCUGGUCUGAGAGGAUGAUCAGCCACACUGGGACUGAGACACGGCCCAGACUCCUACGGGAGGCAGCAGUGGGGAAUAUUGGACAAUGGGCGAAAGCCUGAUCCAGCAAUGCCGCGUGAGUGAUGAAGGCCUUAGGAUUGUAAAGCUCUUUUACCCGGGAUGAUAAUGACAGGACCGGGAGAAUAAGCUCCGGCGAACUCCGU